rnacentral:rRNA from 1 species
UACGGGGGGAGCAAGCGUUGUUCGGAUUUACUGGGCGUAAAGGGCGCGUAGGCGGCACCGCAAGUCGACUGUGAAAUCUCCGGGCUUAACCCGGAAAGGUCAGCCGAUACUGCGGGGCUAGAGUGCAGAAGGGGCAACUGGAAUUCUCGGUGUAGCGGUGAAAUGCGUAGAUAUCAGGAAGAACACCCGUGGCGAAGGCGGCUCUCUGGGACGGUACUGACGCUGAGACGCGAAAGCGUGGGGAGCGAACAGG